CCUGGUUCUGCCGGGGCUUAGUUGGUUAGGGUCUAUAUANCGAUUUAAUGUUUCUUCCGCAGUGACACUUAUAGAAGCCUUUGCGGCCCCGCAAGGGGUUGCUGCCGCGACAAGAAAUAAUGGUAGCCUCAGCGCAAGUCAGCUAGCUAGCUGGCAACAUAAUCGAAUUGCGGGAAGCCCUAAAGCUAGUGGUACCAACCGUCAGUGGAAACGCCGACGGGGCCUGUGUUAACAGCAUGGGAUGGUCACAAUCCACUUGGAUAUACAAUGGGUAAUCCGCAGCGAAGCCCCUAAGGCUUUUUAGCUAUGGGGAACGUUCACAGACUAAGUGAUUAUGGACCGGGCUUGAUGGCCCAGUUUAAGAUAUAGUCGGGUCCCCAAGGAAACUUUGGGGUUCAAGUUAUUGCAUAAUUAAUUGCACGUCACAUGUUCUUUAAAAACCGUUCCGUAGGUGAACCUGCGGAAGGAUCAUUACAGAGUUCAUGCCCUUCGGGGUAGAUCUCCCACCCUUGUAUAAUAUCAAUAUUUGUUGCUUUGGCGGGCCGCGAGCUUAGCUUGCCCGGGCUCACCCCGGCGUACCCGCCAGAGGACCCCUAAACUCUGAAUGUUAAUGUCGUCUGAGUAUUAUAAAAUAAUUAAAACUUUCAACAACGGAUCUCUUGGUUCUGGCAUCGAUGAAGAACGCAGCGAAAUGCGAUAAGUAAUGUGAAUUGCAGAAUUCAGUGAAUCAUCGAAUCUUUGAACGCACAUUGCGCCCCUUGGUAUUCCGGGGGGCAUGCCUGUUCGAGCGUCAUUAUGACCAAUCCAGCCCGGCUGGGUGUUGGGCCUCGCCGUCACAGCGGGCCUUAAAAUUAGUGGCAGUGCUCUUAGGCUCUACGCGUAGUAAAUUUUCUCGCUAUGGAGUUCUGGGAGAUGCUUGCCAUCAUCCCAAUUUUCUUA
rnacentral:rRNA from 1 species